UACGGGGGGGGCAAGCGUUGUUCGGAAUUACUGGGCGUAAAGGGUGCGUAGGCGGUUCGCUAAGUUGGAUGUGAAAACUAUGGGCUCAACCCAUAGCCUGCAUCCAAUACUGACGAACUAGAGUUCUGGAGGGGGUAGCGGAAUUCCUGGUGUAGCGGUGAAAUGCGCAGAUAUCAGGAGGAACACCGGUGGCGAAGGCGGCUUGCUGGGCCAGUUCUGACGCUGAGGAGCGAAAGCGUGGGGAGCGAACAGG
rnacentral:rRNA from 1 species